rnacentral:rRNA from 1 species
GACGAACGCUGGCGGCGUGCUUAACACAUGCAAGUCGAUCGGUAACAGGUGUAGCAAUACAUGCUGACGAGAGGCGGACGGGUGAGUAAUGCUUGGGAAUCUGCCUAUUAGUGGGGGACAACCCGGGGAAACUCGGGCUAAUACCGCAUACGCUCUACGGAGGAAAGCCGGGGACCGCAAGGCCUGGCGCUAAUAGAUGAGCCCAAGUCGGAUUAGCUAGUUGGUAGGGUAACGGCCACCAAGGCGACAAUCCGUAGCUGGUCUGAGAGGACGACCAGCCACACCGGAACUGAGACACGGUCCGGACUCCUACGGGAGGCAGCAGUGGGGAAUAUUGGACAAUGGGGGCAACCCUGAUCCAGCGACGCCGCGUGGGUGAAGAAGGCCUGCGGGUUGUAAAGCCCUUUCGGUGGGGAAGAAAUCGCAAGGGUGAACAGCCUUUGUGGCUGACGGUACCGGGAGAAGAAGCACC